rnacentral:rRNA from 1 species
UUUAAAGUCAGGCCUGCUCAAUGAGGAUUUAAAUAGCUGCAGUAUAUUGACUGUACAAAGGUAGCAUAAUCAUUAGUUUUUUAAUUGAAAGCUGGAAUGAAGGGUUUAAUGAAAAAAUAACUGUCUCUUGGUAAAUAUUUAGAAUUUUAUUUUUAAGUGAAAAAGCUUAAAUUUUUUAAAAAGACGAGAAGACCCUAUAGAGUUUAAUUUUUUAAGAUAAUGAAAUAUUUGGUUAAAAUGGUUUUAUUAUUUUAAAAAAUUUUAUUGGGGUGAUAAUUAAAUUUGUAGAACUUUAAAUUUUAUAAUCAUUAAUAUAUGAAUAUAUGAUCCUUGAUUAGGAUUAUAAGAAUAAAUUACCUUAGGGAUAACAGCGUAAUUUUUUUUGAGAGUUCAAAUCGAAAGAAAAGGUUGCGACCUCGAUGUUGGAUUAAAAUUAAAUUAGGGUGCAGAAGUUCUAAUUUUAAGUCUGUUCGACUUUUAAAAUUUUACA